rnacentral:tRNA from 1 species
GCGAGGGUAGCCAAGCUAGGUCAAACCGUGGAAAGGACGGGGCUAAAGGCGACAGACUCAAGAUCUGUUCCAGAAGUGGUUCACCGGUUCAAAUCCGGUCCCUCGCA